UACGUAGGGUGCAAGCGUUAAUCGGAAUUACUGGGCGUAAAGCGUGCGCAGGCGGUUAUGUAAGACAGAUGUGAAAUGCCCGGGCUUAACCUGGGAACUGCAUUUGUGACUGCAUGGCUAGAAUCUGGCAGAGGGGGGUAGAAUUCCACGUGUAGCAGUGAAAUGCGUAGAUAUGUGGAGGAAUACCGAUGGCGAAGGCAGCCCCCUGGGAUAACACUGACGCU
rnacentral:rRNA from 1 species